rnacentral:rRNA from 1 species
AGCCUAACACAUGCAAGUCGAACGGUAGCACAGAGAGCUUGCUCUUGGGUGACGAGUGGCGGACGGGUGAGUAAUGUCUGGGAAACUGCCCGAUGGAGGGGGAAAACUACUGGAAACGGUAGCUAAUACCGCAUAACGUCUUCGGACCAAAGUGGGGGACCUUCGGGCCUCACACCAUCGGAUGUGCCCAGAUGGGAUUAGCUAGUAGGUGGGGUAAUGGCUCACCUAGGCGACGAUCCCUAGCUGGUCUGAGAGUGAUGACCAGCCACACUGGAAUUGAGACACGGUCCAGACUCCUACGGGAGGCAGCAGUGGGGAAUAUUGCACAAUGGGCGCAAGCCUGAUGCAGCCAUGCCGCGUGUAUGAAGAAGGCCUUCGGGUUGUAAAGUACUUUCAGCGGGGAGGAAGGCGAUAAGGUUAAUAACCUUAUCGAUUGACGUUACCCGCAGAAGAAGCACCGGGCUAAACUCCGGUGCCAGCAGCCGCGGUAAUACGGGAGGGGUGCAAGCGUUUAAUCGGAAAUUACUUGGGGCGUAAAAGCGCACAGCAGGCGGNCCU